AUUAAGGUGGCAGAGUCGUAAUAUAAUGCAAAAGGCCUAAGCCCUUUUCACAGGGGUUCAACUCCCCUCCUUAACA
rnacentral:tRNA from 1 species